ACUAGAAUUUUCUAGGGGUGGAGUGGAGAAGCACAGCCUAAACAGAAACAUUGUUACAAUUGCUGUCUAUUAUAGAGAUUCAAUGCAAGUAUAUGGGAAUAAGCAGCUUUUCCAGACAUAAACAAGUUUUCAGACAGAAACAACAGAGCUAAACCAGACAGUCAGAAGGUCAGUCUGUCUGUUUUGUUCCCUCUAAAACUAUGCAUAUUUAGAAAAUUAUAAAGUCUCUCAGUAUUAGCUGGCUGUACAGUGCAAAUAUACUGUAGUUUAAUAACAGUGUAAAUUAAUAAGAUAUAUUACAAGAAACAUAUAAAUGCAGUUCGACAAUAUGAAACAGUAUAAGUGACCACAACAGCAUAAAUAACAAUGCAAUACAGUAGGGAGUUGAGGGCUUGAUGGUUGAUGCAUAGUAGCAAAAAUGGCUCCAGGGCUCUACAUAACAUGUUGCCAGCAGAUUGCACUGCAUUUCAUGGUAACAGGUUCUCUAAAAUGAGUAUAACACAGUAGCAGGCAGAUAGCUCUGUGCUCUGAUACAUUGUAACACAUUGCAGUUCUGUAAAUUAAGUAUUGGGUCAGAAUGUGUUUACUGCCUCUGAAUCUACAAGAAUGUUUCUAUUCAGUAACAGGAAGUACAAAAAGUAAUGCAGCCCUUCAUUAUACAAAUAUAUCAGCAUAUGAUAUAUUUGACAGUUUACAUGUAGAAUUAAUACACAUGCAUAAUCUUCUGAUAGAUACUGAUCCUGAGUACAGUUUGUAUUAUUAUAAUGAUUAUGCUGGUGGCUAUUAGAAACAGUCAACAAGCUCUGUUGUCAGACACACCAAGGACAACUUAGCUCCUACAAUGCAUCUAGACAGGUUGUUUGUCUUUCAUCAGAUUACUGCAUAGUGUCUGGUGAGAAAUUCUAAAGGCAAAUCUGCAGAUCUGACGGCAAAUCUGGGAAGACAUCAAGCCAAGGAAUGGAUCUAAAGAAUUCUAAAUGUGACUUACUGUGAAUGUAGAUUAAUUCUAUAGGUUAACUGUUAAAUGGUGUUAAUAAGUGGACUUACCCUUCAUUCUUUUUUACAUGGGACAGCUUCUUUACAGUAAAGUAGAAUAUGUUUUAUAUGGAUGUUUUGCCUAGAUCUAAUGGUCUGUUAAGGUUGUCUAUUAGAUCUAUGGGAGUCCAAUUGCUCUGGGACCCCCACUGUUUACGAGAAUAGGGGCCCAAUACCCCUAUUUGAAUAUAGCAGCUGGUUGAGCAUGUCCACUGCUUCUCCAUUGAUGUCUACAGGACUGCUGAAAAUAGACCAGCGGCUAUCUCCGACAGUCCCAUAGAAUGAAUGGAGUGCCAGUGCGCAUGCUCAACCAGCCUUUCAUUUUGGGGGUAUGGGCCCCCUUUCUUGUGAGAGGUGGUUGUCCCAAUGAUGAGACCCACAGUGAUCAUACAUGUAUCACCUUUCUUGUGGAAACAUAAUUAAUGUUUUUCAUAGGGCAGCUGCUCCGUCAUCAAUUUUUCCUGCACAUUGAUGCUCCCUGCAGAACUACAACAUUGCCUCAUUCACUUGGUCAUACUGUUAUGGCAUAGUGAUCUUCGUGUUAUACCAUAAUAUUAUUAGAUGGAAAUACCCCUAUGACAACUAUCCAGGAAAUUCAACCCAACUGUCCAUUAAACCCCUUUAGGCCGAAAAUAUCAGCAGGGAUCAUUCAUAAGAGCUUUUCAGAGCUCCAUAUUCAAUUUCAAAUUUGGAACUUGAUUACAGACUGAACUGUAAUCUAAGAUGCCUUGUGUAUACUCACACAUAGAAAAAGUCCAUUCAGAUGAAACUCAUUUUCUGCAACACUCUGGCACAUGUGAAUAUAACUACAGAAUAAAACAUUAAGAAGGGUUUUUGUAUUUCUUUUAGUUGAGAUCCAGUCGAAUUUUGGGUAAAAAAAAUAAUAGAAUAGAUAUAAAACAUGGGUCUCACAAACACUAAUGAGAAAGCCCAAAGGUGGAAUAUUGCUUAAACAUUAAACAGCCCCUGCCAGCAGGAUCAUCCCUAUUAAACUAGGAGUACUGCCUGGUGGAGUAGAUCCUGCUGAUUAAAAUGAUAGCUGUCUUGCGUAAAUCCUGAGAAAUAAGACUUUGCAUAAAGGAUAAAAAAAAAAUGUUUUGGGAAUGACUCAACCAAUUUUCAAAAGACAUGUAUCAAUUCAGUUAACAGGAUCAACCCUACCAGGCAAUAUUCCUGGUUUAAUAGGGUUGAUCCAGCAGACCGGAGCUCUCUAAGGUGCACAUAAAUAUUUAGAUUGCUGUCAGCCAAACUGGAUUUCCCUAUUCUUCCUGCCAUACACAUGCACUCUUGGCUCGUCGCUUGUAUGUGUUUUCAAUGCGUAGAGGGGUAUAAGUUGCUACUGGACUCAUUGGGCAGCGGCUUAUCUCCUGUGAAUGGAAUAGUCAUGUUGAAAUAAGUCAUGCUCAAUCAUUAUUUCUAGCAGUGGAGAAUUGGGACACCUCCAUACACAUUGGACAGCUGGUCAGGAGUCAGCCGACUGUCCUCCUUAUGUUGAGUCUUUCUGAGGCAUUUACUAAUCCAGGCUAAAACGUGCACAAUAAAUGUUCCUGUGUGCAGCGGCUGUGGGCUGGGUUCAUUCAAAGAAAUUAUCACAUCCUACCAAAAAAUGCCUUGUGUGUAAAUGAAUUUCAUUAUCCUAACCUUACUUUUAUGUCUCUAGUAAAAUACACAACACUGUACAACUAUUUUUUUAUUUUAUUAUUAUUGACCUUGUGCAGUUUUUAAACACGAUUUGAGCCAAUUAACUUAAUGUCGAAGUUUGGACUUUUGCUAACGAGCGUUCUCAUGAACCAUCGUUAGCGAUCACUCUGCAGCCUAAUACUGCUGCCGACUGCCCGAUGAACGAGCAAACACUCAUUCAUCGGACAGUUCUGAUUUUUUAAGCAUGCAUAAAAAUCAGUGCUUGUUGGCAGCAGAUCCUUUUGUCUAAUAGCGAUCUGUGGCCAGCAAACCACUAGACAGAAUGGGGAUGAGCAAUCGCUCCUCUCCAUGCUGUGGGGGAGAUUGCUGCAUGUAAUAGCUGUGGUCUCCUCCGCUAGCUAGCAAGCUAUUGCUGGAAGAAACUCUUCCCUCCCGACUAUCGCUUGCUGAUCUGCCUGCCUAAUACAGGCUUUGGGGUAUGACCACACGGUCUGGUCGUGGUUGUGAUGUGACUGCACUGCGGUCAAGUACUGCAGUGGGCUAUAACUAAGCUAAUGAAGACCGCACUCAGUCUGCAUUGUUAAUAGCAGUGUGGUAUUGAAGUUGCAGCAUGGCCAUUAACAAUUCAGACUAAACAGUGCGAUCUUCAUUAGUCUAAAGGGAGUCUGUCACCAACUUCAGUCAAGUCAAACUGUUAAUACCACAUUGCAGGUCACACACAGAUAACACAUGGUACCUUUUUUGCCACUUCUGUUCCAAAAACAAAAUUGAAACUAUAUGCAAAUGGGGUUUGCCAAAUUCCCAGGCCCCAAGCAGUUACUCGGUGAAACCUCUCCUCUAUCGCAGAUACCCAUUGUGGGCAGUGGCACCGUUCAACCUAAUGUGCAUGCGCCGCUUACUGGAAAUGUGCUGGCUGCUUGUACAAAAGAGAGGCCAGUAAGCGGCGCACACACAUUAGGUUGAACAAUGCCGCUGCCCACAGUGGGUAUCGUGUGGAGCAUGCAUGGGCUGGUGCUGGUGUUCACAGGCACACACUGAAGAUAGGUACUGGGCAGGAUAACUGAGACAGAGGGGAGGAGUUUUUUCCGAGUAACACCGGGGGCCAGGGCAACUGGAGCAGAAAACACCACCCCUGGGCAGAAAAAAGUUCCAGAACACAGAAGGGGUGGCACUGCUUUCUUU